rnacentral:rRNA from 1 species
GCAGUAUCCUAACUGUGCUAAGGUAGCAUAAUCAUUAGUCUUUUAAUUGGAGACUGGUAUGAAUGGCUAAACGAGAAAUUGACUUUUUUUGUUAUAGAAAUUGAACUUAAUUUUUUAGUGAAAAAGCUAAAAUUUUUCAGAAAGACGAGAAGACCCUAUAGAGUUUUAUGCUUUAAAAUACUUUCCCUAAAUUGAUUUUUUCAGGUAAAAUAUAAAUAAGCAUUUUGUUGGGGCGACAUUAAGAUAAAAAAAACUCUUUAUUUUUUAAAUUUUUAUUUAAAUAUAAUUGAUCCUCUAAAAGAGAUCAAAAGAAAAAAUUACCUUAGGGAUAACMGCGURAUCUUUUUUGAGAGUUCUAAUCGACAAAAAGGUUUGCGACCUCGAUGUUGGACUAAAAUUUAGGCAGGGUGCAGCAGUUCUGCUUUAAGGUCUGUUCGACCUAUA